rnacentral:rRNA from 1 species
GAUGAACGCUGGCGGCGUGCCUAAUACAUGCAAGUCGAGCGAACAGAUGAGGAGCUUGCUCCUCUGACGUUAGCGGCGGACGGGUGAGUAACACGUGGAUAACCUACCUAUAAGACUGGGAUAACUUCGGGAAACCGGCGCUAAUACCGGAUAAUAUAUUGAACCGCAUGGUUCAAUAGUGAAAUACGGUUUUGCUGUCACUUAUAGAUGGAUCCGCGCCGCAUUAGCUAGUUGGUAAGGUAACGGCUUACCAAGGCAACGAUGCGUAGCCGACCUGAGAGGGGGAUCGGCCACACGGGAACUGAGACACGGUCCAGACGCCUACGGGAGGCAGCAGUAGGGAAUCUUCCGCAAUGGGCGAAAGCCUGACGGAGCAGCGGCGCGUGAGUGAUGAAGGUCUUCGGAUCGUAAAACUCUGUUAUGAGGGAAGAACAAAUGUGUAAGUAACUAUGCACGUCUUGACGGUACCUAAUCAGAAAGCCACGGCUAACUACGUG